GUAAAGUGCCAUGCAUGGGUGAUUGACAGCCAUAAAAUAUCUUUGACGUGUUACCACAUGACAAAUGUAACGUAUAUUUUCAGUUUCAAGAUGAAGCCUUUAUCCGUGUAAAUAUAAUACAACUCAUUAUGUUGAGCAUAAGAUUACAAGUGUCACAUACAGUAUAGGUGACUGGGAUUAUACAGUGAAUCUGCAAACACCCCCCGUAUGGACUCAAGCCUCAGAGCAUAUCUCAAGAAUUUUGGCGAAAAUUAGCCUUCAUACGAAGUGGCGGUGGUGUGGUUGAAAAUCUUCUAAGCAGUGCUGACUACGUCUAUCACUACAGGUCUACGGUCCAAGAGAUGAUAGUACAUGAUCAGCGAUUCUAUAAAGAUAAAAUGUCCAAAGGCAUUAGUUUUCUAUAAAAGGCUAUAGUAAGAAUGGAAUGGAAUAUGCGAUUUAGGCAUAAAGCCAAGCACUGGGACCCACAGGGUCAUUCAGCAAUAUGGUAGGCUACAGUUUCUUGUGGAAUUAUUUCAUAUAAAUGUUUUUCAUACCUUGUAACUUUGGAAAAAUGCUAUAUUUAAAUUGCACAAUUCAGAAAAAUUAUACAUCGCUGCUACUAAAGCAGCAACUUUGUUCCUCCCAUUAAUAUUUUUUUGCCAGAGCAAAGACUACAGACAAAAUUUGUUGAAUAUACUUGUUACUUACAAAUAGCUCGCAUUCUUUGACCCCACAAAUCCAAAACAAAUCCCCAACACAAAAUACAUAGCCUGCUGGGUGACAGCACUAUGAAUAUGCCUCAUGGGUCUGGAGGUGCUGUGUGAUGAAGCUCAUUUUGUGUAUAGCCAAUGAGUAACAAGAUCUUCCUGUAGGACUUUCAUCAUUAUAUGAAAGGUAUUUUUCCACUUUGUACCUCAUGGAUAGUAAAGACUUUCUCUGUUUAGCUUUAGAGAAGAAUAUUACAUUUACAGAGCUAGUGUAUUCCUGCUUAUUUUGAGUUUCAAGUCUGGGCAGUGAUAACAAUCAUGUUCACGUCAACCAACCUCCUCCAGGCUAUCCAAAAGGAAAAAGCUGGAACUUCAUGCACUAAUUUACUUCGCCUACAAUAUUUUCCAUGAUGUCCAACACCAGGACUUCACACAGUGAAAUCCCUCACUGUUGGAGGAUGUCUUUCAUCAGGUCAACACCUACACUAAAGUUGCUUUGCUUCAUGAACAUCAGAAGUAAGUGCGCCAGACAGAAAUGGUCAACGUGUACCUCCAUGAUACCAAGGUGUGGAGUAUUUGACACAAAGACUUCGUCUUCUUUCACCUGGAGCUGCACCAGUGGAUAUUUAUGCAACUACAGUUCAGGCCCAUAUCAAGAACAAGCGGCACAGAUGAAGGAUUUAUGGUCGAGGGCAAAGGAGUAGACAGGAUAGUGAU